GAAUAUAGUGGUUUGUAAACUAAAUUUAUUAGAUAUUUAAUUUUGAGAAACUCUUACUAAUGUAUUAAUUAAACAUGAAUUAGGAUUGAUGAGAGUAUGAAAAUGGCUCCCAUAAGAAUGAGGUGUUACUCAAAUUCUGAAAAUUAUUUCCUAGCCGUAUAAAAAUUUAUAAUUUAAAAGAGACAAAAAUACCAAAAAUAGACAAAUUUGACCACCAAAAUAAUAAAUUACGUUUAAUUAUCGGAGUAAUCGUAAAUCAUUGGAAUAAAUAUAUGAAACAAUAAAAAGAAUAGUAAAAAAUAUCUUUCAGCAAACUUGUAAACUCAAUUGGUUCAAUUUUCACCCUCUUAGAUAUCCUGGUCCUUUAUAUUCCAAAUGAUACGUAUUUAAUAUGCCAAAUAAAUAGUAAAUAAUGAUCAUUUUGUUACACUAUCUAUAUUUUAUUUAUGUUUUGUCCGUAUCCAGUUACCAAUUUUUUUUUCUGACCAUCGUGAAUGGUUGUGUUUGAAGCGAUUGAGUCCUGCAUUAAUAAAAGCGCGUAUUAAUUAAUAAAUGAUUAAUUAAUUUAGUACUACUACUAUUACUACUAUGACCUAAUACCACGUAAACUAUUGCCAAACUGUAAAUGUUAGUUUUAAAUUAAUUGUUAGGAGCGGUCGAUUAUUUAUUUACGUUGUAGCAAAUGUACUAUUGUUAUAAUAAUUAUUAAUUUAAUAAUGAGAAAAAAAGUGCAAGAAAAACACAAAAAAGGCAAACAAACACAAUACACCCACACCCUGUAUAGCGAUCGAGUACCUCUGUAAGUUAGUAAAAAAAAUCAAAGCGAGUUGUCAAUGUUGUAAAUAUGAUGAUGGAUUAAAUCACAUUUAUAGAUACAAAUAAUAUUUCCUUUGAAGAAUAAUUUUCCUCCCAAUUACUAUCAUUUUAAUUUAAUUUUGUUAGUAUUGGACUUUCACAUACUUUUUAAAAAUGCAUUAACUUGCUUAUCUUUAUUAUUAAUGAAAUUAUGGGUAUUUCAAGUACUUACAAAUCAUUUUUAUAUUAUUUCUGCUUAAUUUCUUAUCCCAUGAAUUUCCUUAUACAAAAAAAAAGAAGUAAAUUUUGUACUGGAUGGAUCCUUUGAGGUCAUGAAUGCGAAGAAGGGUGAGUUUAUUUUAUUUGUUUAUUUAAGUUUUGAGUGUGCUUUUCUUUAUUAUUUUAAAAUAGACGGAAAAACUAUUUAUUAAUCUGUAUUUCAGUAAUUAGAAUAUUUAUUUUAAUUUCACAUAAACUAAGUUUACAAGAGAAUUGUAUUAAAGAAUUAAAUGAGAAGUAUACUAUCCUAUUAUGCUACUGAUAUUUAGAAAAUGUUAAGAAACCAUAAUCAUAUUCAUUUACAAAAAAUUGUGGAGGCGCAGAACAUGAACAAAGUAUUUAUUAAAGAAAUGGAUGGAAAUAUAUUUUCGAAUAGUAAAGAUGCGCGGUAUAUCCCUGAAAUAAAUCCGCAAGAUAGUGGCGCUAUUACCGCUAAUCAUAGUUUUACAAACAAAUAGUUGUAGAGUUAAAUAUCUCUUUUAUAACCAUACCUACAAAAGAUAAAUAGCAUUAAUAUACGCUACAUUCCGUUGUUAAUAAUUGAUAAUGAGAAACUAAUUUUGUAGUUAGUGUUAGUGUAGAAUCAAUUUUUAUUUCUGUAGUGGCAGCCUAUGGUAAAGUGUAUGUCUCAUCUAUAGGGUGUGUGCAUAACCAUAGACCAUAGAUAUACAUACGUAACCUUAUCUAUGGUGCAAGCAUGGUGUCAUAUCUAUAGUGUCUUAUGUAUGAUCUAUCUACGUGCAUGAUGGUGUUAUUCUGUAUAUCUAUUAUCUAUGAUUGUGUCACGACAUGUUAUAAUGGCGCUGUGUUGAUAUAAUAAUUGAAGGUUGACAUAAUUUUAUGCGCGUUAUAUAUUGAACCAUAAUAGCUGAAAGUAAAUUAACAGAACAUUAAGACAGUCAGGGCUUCAAUUGAAGAUUAAGCAAUCGUUAAUAGAAUAGACAGUUUAAACCACCUACUGUGAUGGAUCAAGGGCAAUGGUGCUUCUAUGACAACAACAAAUAAUCUGUGGCCCAUAUCCUUGUCCUCCAUUUUUUGUUCUAUUUUUCAACUUAAAUAAUUCUGCAAUUAUUCAGUUUCAGACUUUCACAUGGACGAUUUUGUAGUCAAUUAAGAGUGGUCAACAAGUGAGAGAACAUUGAAGCUGAAUUUCAUUCCUACUUUGUUUGCUGUGGACCUUUACUCAGUUGAUUUUUGGCAAAGAAAUUCUCUACAACAUCAUCGUUCUUCUAGUAUUUGGUCUGCUUUUCACACUUCCAACUUUCUACAGCUAAUUAAGAUCGACGGUGGAGAAGACAAAGAAGAUCCCAAAGUUAAA